AAUGAACAGAUUCUCAGCAAAAGGACUCUAAGGAUGCAGAGGAAGGGAAGUCACCCAAUCUGGGAAGGAGAUUACUCAGUCUCGGGUAUGUGUAUCAGCAAUGUGAAAACGGACUAGUACAUCUCUAGAGGCACAUGCCAUGUGGUCCAGCCAUAAUUAUUUGUUGUCACAACUAAGUUUCCUUUCUAUAUGAAAAGAUUAUAUUGAUCAGAAUUCUAA
rnacentral:lncRNA from 1 species